CCGAGGGCGCCCUUACUCCUCGCAUAUGGGUGAUAGAAAACCGACCAGUGCCCAUUUAAUCCCCCAAAUCGCUGGCAUGAUGUCGGGGCAGCAUGGGUGCAUGCAACUUUUUUUUGCCGAUGCCCGUGAUGCCGCCGCUACCGUCAACAAUGAGCAUUAUCACACCCAGGAAGAUCAGAAGAAUCAGGCGGCUGGUGGAGUGACUCGAACACAUCUUCAGACGCUGAAAGGCACAAAAUCUGAGUCUGGAGCUGAGCUCUGAGCAGUCUGUGGGACCCAGGAAGACCGCAUACCUGCAUCUCUACCAACUUCCAUUGCAGUUUCUGUGCACUCCAGCCUCUUCUUCAGUCUGUUCCAUGUGAGAAGAUUUUCUCUAAAGCAGGAGAAAUUAUCUCCAAGAAAAGAAACAGACUCGGCCAUCGCACAGUGGAACAAAUUCUCUUCUUAAAU